rnacentral:rRNA from 1 species
GAUGAACGCUGGCGGCGUGCCUAAUACAUGCAAGUCGAGCGAACGGACGAGAAGCUUGCUUCUCUGAUGUUAGCGGCGGACGGGUGAGUAACACGUGGAUAACCUACCUAUAAGACUGGGAUAACUUCGGGAAACCGGAGCUAAUACCGGAUAAUAUUUUGAACCGCAUGGUUCAAAAGUGAAAGACGGUCUUGCUGUCACUUAUAGAUGGAUCCGCGCUGCAUUAGCUAGUUGGUAAGGUAACGGCUUACCAAGGCAACGAUGCAUAGCCGACCUGAGAGGGUGAUCGGCCACACUGGAACUGAGACACGGUCCAGACUCCUACGGGAGGCAGCAGUAGGGAAUCUUCCGCAAUGGGCGAAAGCCUGACGGAGCAACGCCGCGUGAGUGAUGAGGGUCUUCGGAUCGUAAAACUCUGUUAUUAGGGAAGAACAUAUGUGUAAGUAACUGUGCACAUCUUGACGGUACCUAAUCAGAAAGCCACGGCUAACUACGUGCCAGCAGCCGCGGUAAUACGUAGGUGGCAAGCGUUAUCCGGAAUUAUUGGGCGUAAAGCGCGCGUAGGCGGUUUUUUAAGUCUGAUGUGAAAGCCCACGGCUCAACCGUGGAGGGUCAUUGGAAACUGGAAAACUUGAGUGCAGAAGAGGAAAGUGGAAUUCCAUGUGUAGCGGUGAAAUGCGCAGAGAUAUGGAGGAACACCAGUGGCGAAGGCGACUUUCUGGUCUGUAACUGACGCUGAUGUGCGAAAGCGUGGGGAUCAAACAGGAUUAGAUACCCUGGUAGUCCACGCCGUAAACGAUGAGUGCUAAGUGUUAGGGGGUUUCCGCCCCUUAGUGCUGCAGCUAACGCAUUAAGCACUCCGCCUGGGGAGUACGACCGCAAGGUUGAAACUCAAAGGAAUUGACGGGGACCCGCACAAGCGGUGGAGCAUGUGGUUUAAUUCGAAGCAACGCGAAGAACCUUACCAAAUCUUGACAUCCUUUGACAACUCUAGAGAUAGAGCUUUCCCCUUCGGGGGACAAAGUGACAGGUGGUGCAUGGUUGUCGUCAGCUCGUGUCGUGAGAUGUUGGGUUAAGUCCCGCAACGAGCGCAACCCUUGAGCUUAGUUGCCAUCAUUAAGUUGGGCACUCUAAGUUGACUGCCGGUGACAAACCGGAGGAAGGUGGGGAUGACGUCAAAUCAUCAUGCCCCUUAUGAUUUGGGCUACACACGUGCUACAAUGGACAAUACAAAGGGCAGCGAAACCGCGAGGUCAAGCAAAUCCCAUAAAGUUGUUCUCAGUUCGGAUUGUAGUCUGCAACUCGACUACAUGAAGCUGGAAUCGCUAGUAAUCGUAGAUCAGCAUGCUACGGUGAAUACGUUCCCGGGUCU